rnacentral:snRNA from 1 species
AUUUCAACCUGGCAGGGGAGAUACCAUGAUCAUGAAGGUGGUUUUCCCAGGGCGAGGCUUAUCCAUUGCACUCCGGCUGUGCUGACCCCUGUGAUUUCCCCAAAUGUGGGAAACUCAACUGCAUAAUUUGUGAUAGUGGGGGACUGCAUUCACACUUUCCCCUG